rnacentral:lncRNA from 1 species
CUUUUCUGGUUGGAUUGACUCAACUGGUGUACGUAGAAUACAGGAACAGUCCUUGAGAAAAGAAACAAGUUGUGACAGCGUGCACGGCUGAGCUGACCGUCAUCACAGCUCAGCUAAAGCUUCGGAUGCAAGUUCCAUCAAUUCCCGGAAAGACGUGAGCUGCGGAGGCCCACAGCCCAGGUACCACCACCGUUACUGCUGCUCUGCUGACGCGGGGCUGCAGCUCUUACUUGAGGGUUUGAGUGGCUGAAGAGGUUCGAGUUAAGUGAUCUCUGACAGAUACCGACUUGAAGUCCUUGACAAAAGGAGCGCAACGCGAGAAAGCGCGCCCAGCCUCCCUCAGUUCAGCUCCCUUCAGCUCGUACCUUUCCCCCGCGGCGCCCAGCCCCCGCCUCCCUCAGCCCCGAGGCGGCCGGGACAGCGCUACUCCUCUCCCCGCUCCCGGCCCG